AAGGAGUAAACCUUUGCAGGUCCUGUAUAUGUCAUGGCACCAGAACUGAAGGACAUUGAUGAAGAACUAGGAAUGCCCCCAAGAAUCAUAGGCCCAGCAGUUCCUGAUGGCUUUGCAGGGGAGGUCAUUGAGGCUUGUGGAACUUGCUGAGGUUGAUGAACACAAUUUCCACAUUUCAACAUAAAAAGCCAGGCAAUUGCCAUAAAUAUAACCAAGGCAGUGAAAGAGGAGAGAACAAUCACAGCUAUCGUGCUUCCACCAAGCCCAUCUUUCUUUCUCCUUGUCACAUCAACUCCUAAAGGUUUAUUUGUCCUUCCAUUGUUGUUGCGGCCAGGAUACGGUUCAUCGUCUAUAGUAGAAAUGCUCAAAGGUGAAGGUGGAGAGGGUGGAAGACCUGGAUAGUGAACAUAUAAUACUUCAUAGGAACCAAAGAGGGAAGCCUUUAUGAGAACCUGUCUGUUCCAGAAUUUCUUGUAGAUUGAUAAUGCAGUGUUAUCAGCAAAUUUUACUCCCUCUGGUACCAGGUUGAUGAGAACAGUGCUUUUUUCUAGCUGCUGACUAGCUGCGUUGGCUCCCAUAAUGCGAACCUGACAGUGGUUUAGUG
rnacentral:misc_RNA from 1 species